CCCUUAGAUGUUCUGGGCCGCACACGCGCUACACUGAAGGAGGCAGCGAGCUUAUAACCUUGGCCGAAAGGUCUGGGUAAUCUCCAAAUUUCGUCGUGAUGGGGAUAGAUUAUUGCAAUUAUUAAUCUUCAACGAGGAAUGCCUAGUAAGCGCAAGUCAUCAGCUUGCGUUGAUUACGUCCCUGCCCUUUGUACACACCGCCCGUCGCUCCUACCGAUUGAAUGGUCCGGUGAAGCGUUCGGACCGUGGCCUUUGGACGGUUCGCCGUCUGUUGGCUGCGGGAAGUUCGUUAAACCUUAUCAUUUAGAGGAAGGAGAAGUCGUANCA
rnacentral:rRNA from 1 species